rnacentral:rRNA from 1 species
GACGAACGCUGGCGGCGUGCUUAACACAUGCAAGUCGAACGCUGAAGCCCAGCUUGCUGGGUGGAUGAGUGGCGAACGGGUGAGUAACACGUGAGUAACCUGCCCCCUUCUUUGGGAUAACGCCCGGAAACGGGUGCUAAUACUGGAUAUUCACUGGCCUUCGCAUGGGGGUUGGUGGAAAGGUUUUUUCUGGUGGGGGAUGGGCUCGCGGCCUAUCAGCUUGUUGGUGGGGUGAUGGCCUACCAAGGCUUUGACGGGUAGCCGGCCUGAGAGGGUGACCGGUCACAUUGGGACUGAGAUACGGCCCAGACUCCUACGGGAGGCAGCAGUGGGGAAUAUUGAACAAUGGGCGAAAGCCUGAUGCAGCGACGCCGCGUGAGGGAUGACGGCCUUCGGGUUGUAAACCUCUUUCGCUCAUGGUCAAGCCGCAGCUUUGGGUUGUGGUGAGGGUAGUGGGUAAAGAAGCGCCGGCUAACUACGUG